GAUAAACGCUGGCGGCGUGCCUAAUACAUGCAAGUCGAGCGAACGGACGAGAAGCUUGCUUCUCUGAUGUUAGCGGCGGACGGGUGAGUAACACGUGGAUAACCUACCUAUAAGACUUGGAUAACUUCGGGAAACCGUAGCUAAUACCGGAUAAUAUUUUGAACCGCAUGGUUCAAAAGUGAAAGACGGUCUUGCUGUCACUUAUAGAUGGAUCCGCGCUGCAUUAGCUAGUUGGUAAGGUAACGGCUUACCAAGGCAACGAUGCAUAGCCGACCUGAGAGGGUGAUCGGCCACACUGGAACUGAGACACGGUCCAGACUCCUACGGGAGGCAGCAGUAGGGAAUCUUCCGCAAUGGGCGAAAGCCUGACGGAGCAACGCCGCGUGAGUGAUGAAGGUCUUCGGAUCGUAAAACUCUGUUAUUAGGGAAGAACAUAUGUGUAAGUAACUGUGCACAUCUUGACGGUACCUAAUCAGAAAGCCACGGCUAACUACGUG
rnacentral:rRNA from 1 species